AAUGAUAUGCCUGAAAAAAGGAUUAUUUUGAUGAAAUAAAUCAUGUAUAUUAUUCUAUAUACUUUCAUUA
rnacentral:tRNA from 1 species